AUUGAACGCCGGGCGGCAGGGCUUAACACAUGCAAGUCGAAACGGUAACAUAAAGAAGCUAGCUUCUUAGAUGACGAGUGGCGGACGGGUGAGUAAUGCUUGGGAAUCUAGCUUAUGGAGGGGGAUAACUACGGGAAACUGUAGCUAAUACCGCGUAGAAUCGAGAGAUGAAAGUGUGGGACCUUCGGGCCACAUGCCAUAGGAUGAGCCCAAGUGGGAUUAGGUAGUUGGUGAGGUAAAGGCUCACCAAGCCGACGAUCUCUAGCUGGUCUGAGAGGAUGACCAGCCACACUGGGACUGAGACACGGCCCAGACUCCUACGGGAGGCAGCAGUGGGGAAUAUUGCGCAAUGGGGGCAACCCUGACGCAGCCAUGCCGCGUGAAUGAAGAAGGCCUUCGGGUUGUAAAGUUCUUUCGGUAGCGAGGAAGGCAUUUAGUUUAAUAGACUAGGUGAUUGACGUUAACUACAGAAGAAGCACCGGCUAACUCCGUGCCAGCAGCCGCGGUAAUACGGAGGGUGCGAGCGUUAAUCGGAAUAACUGGGCGUAAAGGGCACGCAGGCGGUGACUUAAGUGAGGUGUGAAAGCCCCGGGCUUAACCUGGGAAUUGCAUUUCAUACUGGGUCGCUAGAGUACUUUAGGGAGGGGUAGAAUUCCACGUGUAGCGGUGAAAUGCGUAGAGAUGUGGAGGAAUACCGAAGGCGAAGGCAGCCCCUUGGGAAUGUACUGACGCUCAUGUGCGAAAGCGUGGGGAGCAAACAGG
rnacentral:rRNA from 1 species